AGACCCGAAACCCGGUGAUCUAGCCAUGGGCAGGUUGAAGGUUGGGUAACACUAACUGGAGGACCGAACCGACUAAUGUUGAAAAAUUAGCGGAUGACCUGUGGCUGGGGGUGAAAGGCCAAUCAAACCGGGAGAUAGCUGGUUCUCCCCGAAAGCUAUUUAGGUAGCGCCUCGUGAAUUCAUCUCCGGGGGUAGAGCACUGUUUCGGCUAGGGGGCCAUCCCGGCUUACCAACCCGAUGCAAACUGCGAAUACCGGAGAAUGUUAUCACGGGAGACACACGGCGGGUGCUAACGUCCGUCGUGAAGAGGGAAACAACCCAGACCGCCAGCUAAGGUCCCAAAGUCAUGGUUAAGUGGGAAACGAUGUGGGAAGGCCCAGACAGCCAGGAUGUUGGCUUAGAAGCAGCCAUCAUUUAAAGAAAGCGUAAUAGCUCACUGGUCGAGUCGGCCUGCGCGGAAGAUGUAACGGGGCUAAACCAUGCACCGAAGCUGCGGCAGCGACACUCAGGUGUUGUUGGGUAGGGGAGCGUUCUGUAAGCCUGUGAAGGUGGCCUGUGAGGGUUGCUGGAGGUAUCAGAAGUGCGAAUGCUGACAUAAGUAACGAUAAAGCGGGUGAAAAGCCCGCUCGCCGGAAGACCAAGGGUUCCUGUCCAACGUUAAUCGGGGCAGGGUGAGUCGACCCCUAAGGCGAGGCCGAAAGGCGUAGUCGAUGGGAAACGGGUUAAUAUUCCCGUACUUGGUGUUACUGCGAAGGGGGGACGGAGAAGGCUAUGUUGGCCGGGCGACGGUUGUCCCGGUUUAAGCGUGUAGGUGUGUGUUCCAGGUAAAUCCGGUUCACUUUAACACUGAGGCGUGA
rnacentral:rRNA from 3 species